rnacentral:rRNA from 1 species
AUUGAACGCUGGCGGCAUGCUUUACACAUGCAAGUCGGACGAGUGGCGAACGGGUGAGUAACAUAUCGGAACGUACCGAGUAAUGGGGGAUAACUAAUCGAAAGAUUAGCUAAUACCGCAUAUUAUUCGAGCGGCCGAUAUCUGAGUAGCUGGUGGGGGGGGUAAAGGCCUACCAGGGCGACGAUCAGUAGCGGGUCUGAGAGGAUGAUCUGCCACACUGGGACUGAGACACGGCCCAUACUCCUACGGGAGGCAGCAGUGGGGAAUUUUGGACAAUGGGCGCAAGCCUGAUCGAGCCAUGCCGCGUGUCUGAAGAAGGCCUUCGGGUUGUAAAGGACUGUUGUCAGGGAAGCGGUACCUGAAGAAUAAGCACCGGCUAACUACGUGCCAGCAGCCGCGGUAAUAC